GAGUUUGAUCCUGGCUCAGAACGUACGCUGGCGGCACGCCUAACACAUGCAAGUCGAGCGAGGUAGCAAUACCUAGCGGCAGACGGGUGAGUAACAUGUGGGAAUCUGCCUUUUGGUUCGGAACAACACGGGGAAACCUGUGCUAAUACCGGAUAAGUCCUAACGGAGAAAGUUUUAAUGCCAAAAGAUGAGCCCGCAUUUGAUUAGCUAGUUGGUAAGGUAAAAGCUUACCAAGGCGACAAUCAAUAGCUGAUUUGAGAGGAUGAUCAGCCACACUGGGACUGAGAUACGGCCCAGACUCCUACGGGAGGCAGCAGUGGGGAAUCUUGCACAAUGGGCGAAAGCCUGAUGCAGCGAUGCCGCGUGAGUGAAGAAGGCCUUUGGGUUGUAAAGCUCUUUUGUCGGGAAAGAUAAUGACUGUACCCGAAGAAUAAGGUCCGGCUAACUUCGUGCCAGCAGCCGCGGUAAUACGAAGGGACCUAGCGUAGUUCGGAAUUACUGGGCGUAAAGAGUAUGUAGGCGGCUAGAUAAGUUAAUUGUGAAAGCCCAAAGCUUAACUUUGGAAUUGCAAUUAAAACUAUUUAGCUGGAGUAUGAUAGAGGAAAGCGGAAUACAUAGUGUAGAGGUGAAAU
rnacentral:rRNA from 1 species